rnacentral:lncRNA from 1 species
AGGUAUCAAAUAAUUAUCACUUUCAUUAUUUUUGGUAAAAAUUUAUUGUGAUUCUACAAAAUCAGUAGAAUCAGUCAAUUUUUCUAUCAUCUAAAAUCAAGUGUACAUUUUAUCGUCAUGCACUAAAAAUUACAGAUAUUGUUUAUUUGCCAAGAGUUUUUAUCAUUUUUAGUCAUGAAGUUUACUCCAUUACGACCCUUAUAAAUAGGUAUUCAACUGAAUACCAAAUAUGAAAGACACACAAAAAAGGUUGAAAAUCAUUCACACUAAACAAUCCAUUCUAACAUUCACACAAACUAAGUACUUGAUUUAAAAAUAAAGGAAACAAAAGCUUUGAUAAAGAUUUUGAUAAUAAAAAAACUACUGUGCUUCCCAAGGUGAUGUUAAAGAGUCAGCACUUUAUAUAAUAAUAAUAAUAGUAUAUGGUACAGGUAGCAUGUAAGUUAAGGAAGAAAAUCUCAACCCUUCCAAAUUUUUAAGAAAAUGCUCGAAUUAGUGUGGUGACAACAUCUUUUAAUUUUUGCUGACAUUACAUGUAUUUGUUUAUAUGACAACAGCAAAAUUUACAUGAGGAGAAAGAAAUGUUUCAAAAUUAUUGGAGACAGUUUAACACAAUGUUAGUUGAUAAAUAUUUACCACAUAGGGAAUAUUAAAGGUAUGGCACAAAAUUUUAUCCACUGCAUGUUGUUAACACAGAAAUUUUCAUAAAAUAUUUCAAGGAAUCUUGGGACACAGAGUAAAUAAUUAUUUGCCAUUAAAUACUGCUAACUACAACCACAAAAUAAUCAGAAACAUGAUAAUGAAAUUGCACUAUAAGAAAAAAUUACAAUACUGUGACUCACUGUGCACUCAAAUCUAUCAAUCAAAAUUGAUCGUAAGUUAUGCUGAAGUGUUCAGUACUUGAUUUUAUGUGAAAAGAACAACAGACAUGUAAAUUGCAUUAAUCCUGUAGGUCCAGGAAUUUAAGAAUCUAAUAAGGUGAACAAAUUACACAAACAAACUAGACAAACUAACUUACAAACAUUUUGUCACAAUGUUCCCAAAUAUGAUUAAAUCACUAAAGUCUGCAAUUCUACUAUAAAUAUAUUUCUUAUAUUAUCACCAUGCACCCAAAUGUAAAAUAUGAAGCAAGGUCACUUUAAUAAUAUCUAUUACAAAAUAUGGUUGAUUUUUCUGACAUAACAUGAAAUU